ACUGAACCCACAUGGAAAUGAAGUAAUGACGAAAGUGAUUUUUUGCUCAUUGACUUCUGCACCUCACAAUGGUCUCUCUGUACGUGCUUAAUCUCACUAGUGUUGCUUUUUAGCUAUAUAGCUGCUUCCUCAACUUUCAAGUAUUCACUCACCGAUCGACUCUCAUCAUUCCUCUCUGUAAACUAAACCAAACCAAGGUUAAAGUGCAGACUGCAGACUAAUAGCAGCUAGCUUUUUAGUUUCCCUCUGAUUUGAGAGUGUCCCUGCAUCUUACAUCAACCUUCUUUUGGUUUUACUUCGGAUUAUAUGCCAAAUCAUAACCACAUAGAAACAAAAAGAAGAACCAGUUUACUUCAUAACAAAAACAUCGAGUUAUAAAAGUAACAGACAUGGAUUUUCUUGUUGCAAUUGGUACUGGAAUUGUUGGAAAGAUUGCUGAGUUCACAGUUGCACCAGUUAUACGUCAAGUGGGUUAUGUAAUCCACUACAACAAGAACCUCAAAAAACUAGAGAGUCAAGUAGAUGACUUGGGUGAUGCCAGAGAAAGCAUGAAGCGUGCUGUUGAAAGAGAGGAAAGAAUGGGUAGAAAAAUUGAAGCAGGUGUCCAGAACUGGCUGACUAAAGUGGAUGAGAUGACUAAAGAAGCAGACGAUUUCUUUGUUAGGGUUUGCAUUAAUGUUGACUUAGUUAGGGUUUGCAUUAAUGUUGACUUAGUGAUAAGAUAGGUUUAUCUUUAAUGCUGUUGAAUAAACCCUAGUUGUUAGGGGUUAGUUAGGGUUUUGACUUCUUCCUGUAAUCGUGUACCACGCAUCAGAGUUGUACGGUGCAUGGGCUGCUAUUUCGCUUUCA